rnacentral:tRNA from 10 species
GCCGGCGUAGCUCAGUUGGUAGAGCAGCUGAUUUGUAAUCAGCUGGUCGGGGGUUCGAAUCCUCUCGCCGGCUCCA